GAUGAACGCUGGCGGCGUGCCUAAUACAUGCAAGUCGAGCGAACAGACGAGGAGCUUGCUCCUCUGACGUUAGCGGCGGACGGGUGAGUAACACGUGGAUAACCUACCUAUAGGACUGGGAUAACUUCGGGAAACCGGAGCUAAUACCGGAUAAUAUAUUGAACCGCAUGGUUCAAUAGUGAAAGACGGUUUUGCUGUCACUUAUAGAUGGAUCCGCGCCGCAUUAGCUAGUUGGUAAGGUAACGGCUUACCAAGGCAACGAUGCGUAGCCGACCUGAGAGGGUGAUCGCCCACACUGGAACUGAGACACGGUCCAGACUCCUACGGGAGGCAGCAGUAGGGAAUCUUCCGCAAUGGGCGAAAGCCUGACGGAGCAACGCCGCGUGAGUGAUGAAGGUCUUCGGAUCGUAAAACUCUGUUAUUAGGGAAGAACAAAUGUGUAAGUAACUAUGCACGUCUUGACGGUACCUAAUCAGAAAGCCACGGCUAACUACGUG
rnacentral:rRNA from 1 species